rnacentral:rRNA from 1 species
AUUGAACGCUGGCGGCAGGCCUAACACAUGCAAGUCGAGCGGAUGAAGGGAGCUUGCUCCUGGAUUCAGCGGCGGACGGGUGAGUAAUGCCUAGGAAUCUGCCUGGUAGUGGGGGAUAACGUCCGGAAACGGGCGCUAAUACCGCAUACGUCCUGAGGGAGAAAGUGGAGGAUCUUCGGACCUCACGCUAUCAGAUGAGCCUAGGUCGGAUUAGCUAGUUGGUGGGGUAAAGGCCUACCAAGGCGACGAUCCGUAACUGGUCUGAGAGGAUGAUCAGUCACACUGGAACUGAGACACGGUCCAGACUCCUACGGGAGGCAGCAGUGGGGAAUAUUGGACAAUGGGCGAAAGCCUGAUCCAGCCAUGCCGCGUGUGUGAAGAAGGUCUUCGGAUUGUAAAGCACUUUAAGUUGGGGGAAGGGCAGUAAGUUAAUACCUUGCUGUUUUGACGUUACCAACAGAAUAAGCACCGGCUAACUUCGUG